AACUGGCUAGUGAUUAUUACCAGCGUUAAAUGUACAGUUCAGAAGUCGUUUUCACUGCAUACGUGUUGUUUGAAGGCGCAAAAUAAUUUUUAUUUUCUUUGAUGCUAAAACGCAUUUAUAACGGUGUAUGGCGUUUACACGAAUAACUCUAAGAGGAUCUAUUUCAAGUUCAUAUAGGCCUACUGGUUGUCUGCGUAAUUAAACCAGUGUUGACAAAUCACUUACAGUUGCAUAUGCAAGUGUUUAUAACAGGUUUGAACGGUGGGUGGGUGUUAUCUAGAUUUAGGGCUGUGUCAUCUCGAUGACGUGGAGGAACUCAAGUCAGCCUUAACUUUAAACCUCUCCGUCUCAUACAGUUAAAUUAAACACAAAUUAAAUCAAGGUUUUUAAAUCAACUGGCUUGAAUGGGUCUCUAAAGCGCAGGACUGACGUCUGUUUCGCUUUCCGGACAGCUGAUCGCGCGUGCUACACUGGACCAGAAAAAAUGCAGCUAGGCUUGUCGGUUUCUGACAGUGAUGUCUCUUCGUUCACCCCUCUGGUGGUCCUGGAGCUUGCUGAUGACACUAAAGCAGAGGCCAUCACUUGGUUACUAAACAGGAUCAGAGGCAAGCAGCAAAAUGGAGGAGCAGAGUUGUUGGUGGAUCAGCUCCUGUUUCCAGCUCAGGAUGGUCAGAAGUCUAAUCCAAAUGUCUUUGUGGUGGGCUCCACAUUGCAGAGGCUCUUGAAAGGAGCUGAGGAUGUAGGGUUAUUUAAGGAAUUUCAAGAUGGGACAAUGCGAGGGUUCACUUAUGCCAACAGAGAAAGCUUCAAAGACUUUUAUGGAGAUGGUGAAGGAUUUCUCAGUGAUGCCGAGUGUCAAUACAUUAUCAAACAUGAGUUGGACACACUUAGGGCUAAGAAUGAAGAGCAUGUUCCUGGAUACCCUAAGGUUAAGCUCUACCCUGGAAAAUCAGUUGUGCGGAGGUUGCAGUCUAAAGGUGUCCUAGUCCAGUAUUUUCCUCUCCAUAACAAAGAAGACCUUAAAAGGCUCUCGUUCUCAUGGUACAAAAAGAUCAAAUUGUCCUUCCAGCCACUGGAUGACAUCAGACAUUACUUUGGUGAGGGUCUGGCGCUCUACUUUGGAUUUCUGGAGUAUUUCACGUUUGCCUUGGUACCCAUGGCCCUCAUUGGUAUCCCUUACUACCUCUUUGACUGGGAGGACUACGACAAGUAUGUGCUGUUUGCUGUCUUCAACCUGGUUUGGUCUACAGUAUUCUUGGAAGUGUGGAAGAGAUGCAGCGCUACGUUAGCAUACGGGUGGGGAACUCUGAGCCGCAAAAAAGCAUUUGAAGAACCGAGGGCUGGAUUCCAUGGAGCUCUGGGGUUUAAUCCAAUCACAGGCCGAGAGGAACCAGUCUACCCUAGCUCAAAGCGGCAGUUGAGGAUAUAUUUGGUGUCGGUUCCCUUUGUUCUGCUGUGCCUCUAUCUGUCCUUUUACGUGAUGAUGGUUUACUUUGACAUGGAGAAUUGGGCCAUAAGUAUAUACAAUGAAAAUCCAAACUUUGCGACCGGCAUUCUGCUGUUUGUACCCAGUAUCAUCUACGCUGUGGUCAUCGAGAUCAUGAACUUACUGUAUCGCUAUGCAGCAGAGUUUCUCACAAACUGGGAAAACCAUAGACUGGAGUCAUCAUUUCAAAAUCACCUUGUGCUCAAGGUUUUGGUGUUUAACUUUGUAAACUGCUUUGCCUCUCUCUUCUAUAUUGCCUUUGUCAUGCAAGAUAUGGUGCUUUUGAGACAGAGUUUGGCCACGCUGCUUAUCACCUCUCAAAUCCUGAAUCAAGUGAUGGAGGCCUUCCUGCCAUACUGGCUGCAGAGGAGGAGGAACAAGAAAGUCCAUAAGAGGAUGAGGAGAAUGAUGGGUGAUAAAGAGCUCCCCCUGCUGGAACAAGUUCAGCUGGAGACCGAAAUGAACACCUAUCUGGGCACAUUUGACGACUACCUCGAGCAGUUCCUGUUGUUCGGCUAUGUGAGUCUGUUCUCCUGUGUGUAUCCGCUGGCCGCUGUGUUGGUGGUGCUGAACAACAUCACUGAGGUUUAUUCUGACGCCUUCAAGAUGUGCCAUGUUUUCAAGCGUCCCUACUCAGAACCAGCAGCAAACAUCGGGGUGUGGCAGUUGGCAUUCGAGACGAUGAGCAUUAUCGCCGUGGUUACCAACUGUGCCUUGAUUGGUUUGUCCUCACAAGUGAAAGCCUACUUCCCUGAAUCAGAGACUCAGAUGAUCCUCAUUGUGGUGGCAAUAGAGCAUGUUCUCCUUGCCUUCAAAUUCAUCCUGGCAUUCGUCAUUCCAGAUGUUCCUAAACAUAUCCAAGUCAAACUAGCCAAGCUGGAGUUUGACUCCCUAGAAGCUCUUAAGAAAAGGAAAAUACUGGAAGCUGCGGAGACCUGAAAUAAGUGACGGGUGAUGACAAGAACGCGACAAAAGUACUCAAGGUGUACACAUGCUGUAAACUAUCUAGUAUUAUAUUUAACUGACUUUGACUUUAAAUUGCACUCUUUGCCAAGUUAUUAAAAAAAUGGCUUAUUGAUGCUGUACACUUCUGAAUGACAGGGUUUUAUUAUGUUUUCCCGUUUUUGCAGUCGCACGAAUUGUUUUAUUAUUUCUUUAUAUGUCAAUAAAACUGUUACUGGUAUAAUGAGAGAAGUGAACAUGGGAAUCCAAUCGGUGCAUGUCUGAUGGGGUCAGUUGACUAGGUUGAUUUGGUUAGUUUGUCAUAGUACAUCUCAUUUUUUUAUUUCUGUCUGAAGUUGUAAAAAAAAUAUGUUGUAAAGAGGUGAUUAGAAGAAGUAUUUCUCAGACAUUGGGCCAAAAAACAAUUUAUUUUUAUUUUUGAGGAAUUAAAUAAAAAAUUGUUUGAGGACUUGAAAUUGUCCGUUUUCAAUCACUCCAAGUUCUACCAAAGAUAGAGCAGUGCCUUUAAACAUCACUGUACCAUGUUUAACUGUUAUGGCUUUUGUUUACAGAUGUCAGGCCACUUCACCCUGCACUGUACUUGAAAUAAGUAUAUUCAAUAUUCUCUGCCUGAAAAUAAACAUUUUAAAUAUUCAGAUAACAUACUCCUCGUCCUUUCCACACCUUGGGAUGAGACAUUUGUGAUUGAGACUUUCAGAAGGUGUCCUUUAUCAGCCUUAAACUCAGAAGCUGCAUUACCAACAAACACUGAAAUAUUGUAAGAACACCUAAAUUUUUUUUUUUAUGACAUUAGCGAUUCAGUGACCAUGUUUUCAUGCAAAACAUGCUAGUUAGUAUUAAUCACAUAUUCAGAAACAUGCUAGUUUUCUCGCUAUUUUCCUAUUAUACUCCGUCUUUCCAUUACACAGCACGUUUAUUCAAUUUUCAUUCAUGUCCUUAAGCAGCAUACAACAGCAUAAAACGUAGGGCUUGAAAUUCUUUUCUUGUCUGUAUACUGAUUUAUGUUGUGGUUUGUUCCAAAGUUUUACUUCAGUUAGUUUUUACCAAAGUAACUAAUUAUUUCUCUUUUCUUUUUUUGAUUUUAUUUUCUAUUAAGCAACCUUUUUUUCAACUUUACAGGUUAAUGGAUAUACUUUCACAAAUUUGUAAAAAAAUAUUUUUAGAAAUGGCAUGCAGUUUGUUUCAUUGGGAUAACUAAUCGGUGGCAUCCGUGGACUCACUUGAGUGAGAAAAAUGUGAUUAGAUGGGAUUAGACAAUUGUAUGCAUGUAAACAGUCAUUUAUCAUCUUGUCUUGAUAUAGAGACUUGCUAUUUACAAUUCUAUUUGACUAAUUACACAAAUGUGUUUAAAAAGACUAAGGUUUUGGGAGCAAAACAAACAACUCCCGGUGUCUUCACUCUUGAUGUUUCCUGAAGCUGAGGACGGAGGGCAGUGCGACUAGCCAACUUACAACUCAAUCGAAUUAGGGAACCGUUUGUCACACUUUCUGACAGUGAAGCGGUCUCAGCAGUUUCCACUGACCAGCAGUGACACUGACAAUAUGUAGAACGUGUCUGUGUGCUCGCAAGGCGCUCUAUUGACAACACGCAUAUAGUGUGUUUGACCAUUAAGCUGAUGCUGGACAUGUACUUGGAUGAGAAGCGUGUACUUGAGACACCCCUGGUUAUUGGAGACACCUUGGCAGCACAAGCGGGCAGUAAAUUAAGAGCAAAUACCUUUCAGCAGCAGGGGCUUGUGGGUAGCGGUAUUCUGUCAAGUUUAACUUCUUGCCACAUAGUGUCCAGUGAAACUCUGAACCAAGAUGUCUUCUAUUGUACAGAAAGCCCACAGAUAAAUAACUUUAAUGUGAAAUAUUACCAUUUUACUUCCGUUAUGUAUUUUGGAGUA